UACGGAGGUGGCAAGCGUUGUUCGGAAUUACUGGGCGUAAAGGGCGCGUAGGCGGUGCGUAAAGUCAGGCGUGAAAGCCCCGGGCUUAACCUGGGAAUUGCGCUUGAUACUGACGUGCUAGAGAACGGGAGAGGAUGGCGGAAUUCCCAGUGUAGAGGUGAAAUUCGUAGAUAUUGGGAAGAACACCGGUGGCGAAGGCGGCCAUCUGGACCGUUUCUGACGCUGAGGCGCGAAAGCGUGGGGAGCAAACAGG
rnacentral:rRNA from 1 species